AUUUUAUUUGUGUUGUUCUCUUGGCACCUAGACCUCGCCAGGUCCAAGCACCAAAAUAACAUCCACCUAUCCACGCAGAGUCCAUGGGUUAGACCAUCUCCCAGACAGAGGAGCCCGGGCCAUACACACAGUGUGAGGUGCAGUGUUUGUUCUGUGGUCAAGCGAUUGACGUUGCCAGCAUCCAAGACACAUUGAUGACUGUGAAAUUUCACAUCAACCAUCAACCUCUGCUGCCCAGACCUCUGCCCAGUCCUCUGCUGCCCAGACCUCUGCUGCCCAGUCCUCUGCUGCCCUGACCUCUGCCUCGACCUCAGCUGCCUCGACCUCGUCCACUGGCAGAGUGUCAGAGAUUUUCAAUGAAGAAUGGAAGCUGGAGCCAGCUGCCAAAGCAGCAGCCAAAAUGUUUCAGACUCAUGUGGCCAAAGAUGCCGACCAGAAGCCAACCCUAAAGUUGACUUUGGACAUGCACGUCACAGAAGAGGACAGAGAAAGAUCAAUUAUCGGCUUCUAUGAGCAGACUAAUGUUGAUUGGACCCGUCCUUUUGAAGUCGAACUCAAGGGAGACUGUGCAAUUGGGGAUGGCGUGAAGAAAUAUUUAUUUUAG
rnacentral:lncRNA from 1 species